rnacentral:rRNA from 1 species
ACGGAGGGGGCAAGCGUUAUUCGGAAUUAUUGGGCGUAAAGGGCGCGUAGGCGGCCUGGUAAGUCAGUGGUGAAAGCCCUCGGCUCAACCGAGGAACUGCCUUUGAUACUGCCAGGCUUGAGGACGGGAGAGGGUGGUGGAAUUCCCAGUGUAGCGGUGAAAUGCGUAGAUAUUGGGAGGAACACCCGUGGCGAAGGCGGCCACCUGGACCGUUCCUGACGCUGAGGCGCGAAAGUGUGGGGAGCAAACAGG